ACCAAGCAAAAAUGUCGGCGUUGGCUCUAAGCAAUUUUAUUAAUUACUGCCACUCUGAGUCGGAUAGCUGCGAUCCAAUUUGGACCAUUUUCUCGGAUUCUUCUUUUUUUAACGGAAUGAAAAUCAGUUGUUCAGCUGAUUCACCCCUCUCCUGAUUCUAUCUUUGAUCCAAUUUGUCAACAGGCAAAGAGUCUUCAGGUUUAUUAUUUUGGAUCGAGACAAGGAAGCAAAGUCGGAUGAGUUGUUGAUCUCCACACAUUUCUCCAACCCCAUAUCUUAUCAGGAAUCGAACUAACAAAUGAUAUGUCGAAACCACUGCUCUCAAAGUAUUAAGCUCAGAUCAUCCGAGUAUGGCAUUAUAAGCCGAAGAUACUUGAACUAUCGUAAACAUUAUAAGAACAGUGCUCUGUUGUGGUUCGAUUCCAGCGGUUAAGGGGAGAGAGAUUUCUCC
rnacentral:lncRNA from 1 species